rnacentral:hammerhead_ribozyme from 2 species
AGCCGAAACGGUCAGUAAUGACCGUCAGCCGGGAAGUGACUGCCCCGGCUCUGAUGAUGGCAGGUCAUG